CCAGUGGUAUUUCUCGCGGCAUUUCCAUCGACGCGUUACGGCAUAUUUAGCACGUGUCGUCCCGGGCAUAUUAUUGCGACGCACCACGGUCACUCUGCUCAAAGUGAAACGGCCAAACGAAGAAGACGUAUCGUAUCGUAUCGUGUGUGCUCAGACUUGUGCUCUCAGAAUUUAUUUUUGGUCAUCAACAUUCACCUCUGUUUAGAGUACAACAGCAACAAAACAAGCGAAUAACAAGCAAAUACGUUCAACAAAAACUGUGUAAAAUCGUUUAUAAAACUAAAAUCAUAAAAGCAAGCACCACAAAGCAGCAGAGAGAGCAGCGAAAAGUUAACAGCGAAUUCAGCGGCUGAAGCAGAGCAGCGGAGCGCAAGUGCAAGCAAGACGGCAGCAGAGCUCCGCUGCAAGGCAACGGGAAAGAAAGGGACAGCGCAGCAACAGAGAGUGAACAAAAGAGAGAGAGAGUAGCAGCAGCUGAAUCGUCGGCGACAGCCGCAAAGCCACAAAAGCGAGUGUGCUCGUGAGAGGGGGACAGAACGAGCAACGCGACGUCAAACUGCAAAAAGCUUUGUGGCUCACUUUCAUUCCGCAAUGAAAAAUUGAGAGGGAGAGAGAGAGAGGAGAGAGUGACCACUUUACAGUAACGAGGGCUGAUAAUAACAUUUCAGCAGUGCCUAUAAAAAAACCAAUAAACAUUAACCAAAAAAUAGAGACUUGCUAAAAACCAAACAACAAUGUCUGCAUUUUUCAAUACUUUAGAGUGUGUUUCGUGG